rnacentral:rRNA from 1 species
ACAGCAGUAGCCACGGUAAUACGUAGGGCGCAAGCGUUAUCCGGAGUUAUUGGGCGUAAAGAGCUCGUAGGCGGUUUGUCGCGUCUGCCGUGAAAGUCCGGGGCUCAACCCCGGAUCUGCGGUGGGUACGGGCAGACUAGAGUGAUGUAGGGGAGACUGGAAUUCCUGGUGUAGCGGUGAAAUGCGCAGAUAUCAGGAGGAACACCGAUGGCGAAGGCAGGUCUCUGGGCAUUAACUGACGCUGAGGAGCGAAAGCAUGGGGAGCGAACAGGAUUAGAUACCCGUGUAGUCCCUGUCUCUUAUAA